AUGGAAACCAAUGGGAGUCAGUUUUUACACAAACACCACCGUAGUCACCAAAUUGUGUUCAGGCUUUCUAAAACACAUCUGUGUCUUGAAUCUCUGCGCGCAUGUUCAAGACCCCAAAAGAGAAACAUCCACCAAAUCUGAAGAAGAAAUGAAUAGUGAAACCAGAGUUUCAAGCUGUGUAAAAAUCUAAUCUGGGUCAACAAACGAUAAAACAAUUAAUAAUGUAUUUAAGUUUUACAAUGAAAUAAACAUUUAUUUUUAAAAUAACUGUCAUCUUAUAAAGCACAGAUUCACUUCUGUAAUAUCAUAAUGUUGUAUAUUUUCAUAAACUCUGGUAAAAAUGUCUAAAGUACUUUUUUUUUUUCUAUGUUCGUUUCUUUCCGAGCCAAACCUUGAUGGAGGCCGGUCUCCCGCGGCAUGCUGGGAGUUUUCAGCUCGAUCUGAGAGUGUGACGAGGCAUGGCACGCUAGAGACACACCGGGACUGUCAUCGACGGGAGCCCAGAGUUUGACAAACUGUUUCCCUCUUUUCCAGAAGAGCCCGUCCCGUUCAAGAGCUCCGGCCAUCUGAAUGGAGGCUUGUGUUCGUCCCGGACCCACACCUCUCUCUCUCAGGAAACUUCACACGUGUCUAAAUUACAGGAGGAAACACAAACACUGAGGGAUUGUGUGUGUCUCACAGCUGGAUUCAGGAAUGUUUCCUACGACACACGGUCAUCUCACGUCUGCAGACACACAGAUGCCACGGCCGGCCGCUCGAGCCAAAACCAUGAACACAGGAAAGACUGGAGAACCAGCUCGGAUUAAACCAGAGCCGCUCGUCUGCAGAGACCGCAAAGCUCCCGUGAGACGGCUGAACACGUCAACAGGGUAAAAGAAGAAACCCUUCGUGAGCUGAAAGCUGUUUGUUCUCCAGC
rnacentral:lncRNA from 1 species